GCCGCGGGCGGAGGAGCGCGGGUGCUCCGGGCCAGAGGCCCCAGGCGCGCCCUGCGUGGUCACUUGCCCUCUUUUCCCCACUUGCUUGCGGUGGGGGCUGGGUGGCCCGGGUCCUCCCCUCCUCUCCUGGCGCCGGCUCGUCUUGGUGGGGGCGGGGAACUCCGCUCUGGAAGCUGAGGGGGGUGCUCAUGGAGGGGGCUGAAGGUUGGGUAGCGGACGGAGGGCCGGGGGCGCGUGGAGACCCCUACCCGGGCCGGGGCCCUCCGAAGAAAAGGGAGAGAUGCUUGGCUCCCCGCUCCGCCCGGUGCGAAUGGAAAGGAGAGCAGAUUCAGCCCGAAGCCCAGCGGAGAGGCAGCGGGCCGCAAGGGAUGGGGAUCCGGGCGAGGGUCGUGCUCCCUCCUCCCGCGCGCCGGCUGGGAGCCCGAAUUCGGGAGGAAGCAUUGGCGCGGGGCUCACGAGCGCACCAACUAACGACCAUUCUGCCUCGUGUCCCCCAGCCCCUCCCCGAAGGCGCGGAGAGUCGGCCUGGGGUGGGGGGGGGGGACAGAUUAGAUUUCGCUCCGCUCUCAUCAAUUUUCUGUUUAAUGUCACCCGGCCCCAUUGUGGGAGAGGAAAGCACGUCACCCAGGCCAUAAAUUGCGAUUAUGGGGCCUCCGGCCGCCUCCGCGUUCUAGGGACCCGGCGGACUCCGGCGAGCAGGUCGGACACCGGCCGCCCGAACCGGAGCCGGAGUCGCCUUGGAGCCGCCGAGCGACAGAGCUGGAUGGCGGUCCUUGGGGAGCGAGGAGCCCUGGAUUUGCAGCUGCUCUCAGGGAAAGUGGGGGCAAGUGCCGGGAGGGGCCCCACAGCUGGGCUAGGUUCUGGGGUGAGAGGGGCCCCCAGGCUGUGUGAGGGAAGACAGGUUCUCCAGAGCACUGGUGCCAGUGUGUGCUGUGAACGUAUCGGUGUGUGGGUGUGUGAUGUGCUGUAUAAUGCUCAAGCGUGUGCCCGUGAUGUGUUUGUGUUACAUGUGUGCACACAUACAUGUGUGUGGAUGGGUGAUAUGCAACGGUGCAUGCCCAGGUGUCAGGGCACAGCUGGCUGCAUGGGGCCAUUAGGGCAAGCUUGGGUACCUGCCAGGGAGGAAGCAAGCUGGGGGUUCAAGGACACCCCUGGGUAG
rnacentral:lncRNA from 1 species